rnacentral:rRNA from 1 species
UACGGUGGAUCCAAGCGUUAUCCGGAAUCAUUGGGUUUAAAGGGUCCGUAGGCGGUUUGAUAAGUCAGUGGUGAAAGCCCAUCGCUCAACGAUGGAACUGCCAUUGAUACUGUCAGACUUGAAUUAUCGGGAAGUAACUAGAAUAUGUAGUGUAGCGGUGAAAUGCUUAGAUAUUACAUGGAAUACCAAUUGCGAAGGCAGGUUACUACCGGUGGAUUGACGCUGAGGGACGAAAGCGUGGGGAGCGAACAGG